UACGUAGGGGGCUAGCGUUGUUCGGAUUUACUGGGCGUAAAGCGCACGUAGGCGGGUCGUUAAGUCAGGGGUGAAAUCCCGGAGCUCAACUCCGGAACUGCCUUUGAUACUGGCGACCUUGAGGCUGGAAGAGGUUAGUGGAAUUCCCAGUGUAGAGGUGAAAUUCGUAGAUAUUGGGAAGAACACCAGUGGCGAAAGCGGCUUCCUGGUCCAGCACCGACGUUCAGGCACGAAAGCGUGGGGAGCAAACAGG
rnacentral:rRNA from 1 species